GACGAACCGUGCGAACGUUGUUCGGAAUCACUGGGCAUAAAGGGCGCGUAGGCGGGCCGUAAAGUCAGGGGUGAAAUCCUCCAGCUUAACUGGAGAACUGCCUUUGAUACUGACGGCCUCGAGUGAGGUAGGGGCGUGCGGAACUGAUGGUGGAGCGGUGAAAUGUGUUGAUAUCAUCAGGAACUCCGGUGGCGAAAGCGGCACGCUGGACCUUUACUGACGCUGAGGCGCGAAAGCCAGGGGAGCGAACGGG
rnacentral:rRNA from 1 species